rnacentral:rRNA from 1 species
CCUACGGGAGGCAGCAGUGGGGAAUAUUGCACAAUGGGGGAAACCCUGAUGCAGCGACGCCGCGUGAGUGAAGAAGUAAUUCGUUACGUAAAGCUCUAUCAGCAGGGAAGAAACACUGACCUUACGGUCAGCAGACGGUACCUGAGUAAGAAGCCCCGGCUAACUACGUGCCAGCAGCCGCGGUAAUACGUAGGGGGCAAGCGUUAUCCGGAUUUACUGGGUGUAAAGGGAGCGUAGACGGUGCGCCAAGUCUGGAGUGAAAUGCCACAGCUUAACUGUGGAACUGCUUUGGAAACUGGCGAACUAGAGUGCGGGAGGGGUAAGCGGAAUUCCUAGUGUAGCGGUGAAAUGCGUAGAUAUUAGGAGGAACACCGGUGGCGAAGGCGGCUUACUGGACCGUAACUGACGUUGAGGCUCGAAAGCGUGGGGAGCAAACAGGAUUAGAUACCCGGGUAGUC